rnacentral:ncRNA from 1 species
AAAUGUUAAGAGCAAACCUGCCCAAAGGCAGGGACGCAAAGCCAUAGGAUCUAAGGUGCUGAUGUAAGCGCUACGACAGCCUGGCUGCCAAU